rnacentral:rRNA from 1 species
ACGCAAUAGAUACCCGGGUAGUCCACGCCCUAAACGAUGUCUACUAGUUGUUGGGAGAGUAAAAUCUCUUAGUAAACGCAGCUAAACGCGUGAAGUAGACCGCCUGGGGAGUACGGUCGCAAGAUUAAAACUCAAAGGAAUUGACGGGGGCCCGGCACAAGCGGUGGAUUAUGUGGAUUAAUUCGAUGCAACGCGAAAAACCUUACCUGGCCUUGACAUGCUACUAACGAAGCAGAGAUGCAUUAGGUGCCCGAAAGGGAAAGUAGACACAGGUGCUGCAUGGCUGUCGUCAGCUCGUGUCGUGAGAUGUUGGGUUUAAGUCCCGCAACGAGCGCAACCCUUGCCAAUAAUUGCCAUCA